CCGUGCUAGGCGGGGAACUAGCGGUGCCCUGUACCUGCAAUCCGCUCCAGCAGGGCUGAAUUCCCUCCCGAGGUCUUCGUUUUCGAGAGCCGCCGGCGCGAACGGCGUCGAGGAUCGGGUCCCGCGCAGCGGCGACACGCGAACCGCGUCAGGUCCGGAAGGAAGCAGCGCUAAGCGAGGCUCGUCGGGUGCCGCGGCCAGGCCUGGUCUGAGCCGAUCGCACAGGUGGGCGCGGGGACGUCCUGGUCGACGGGGGGUGCACGG
rnacentral:SRP_RNA from 1 species